rnacentral:tmRNA from 1 species
GGGGGCGACCUGGCUUCGACGUGGGUUGCAAAGCAGCGCAGGGCAUACCGAGGACCCGCCACCUCGUAAAUCAGCUGGAAAAAAAUAGUCGCAAACGACGAAAAGUACGCUUUAGCCGCGUAAGCGGGUAGACCUCACACCCUGCUGUCCGUGGAGGGGCUCAAGGCCGUAAGGUCGCGAUGAGUGAGGUCAUUUACACGGAAUCGUGUCAUGCAGGGUUACUUUGUAUGGCAUUAAAUUUAGGUAACUCGUUCGGUAGCAGCCUGUUGGUUGGCGUCUGCCGAAUAAAAUUAAAUAACCUAACUAAGUAUGUAGAACUGUCUGUAGAGUGCUUGCGGACGCGGGUUCAAUUCCCGCCGCCUCCACCA